AAAAAGUUGCUGUGGGCUGUGAGCUGUGGAAAAAGCUACUGUAGACUGUAAGCUGUUAAAAAGCUAAAAACCGUUUGGUGGAAACCACUAAAAGUCGUUAAAAAAUCUUCGAUAUAUGUUUUCACAGUUCUAUCCGAAAAGCCACUAAAAGCAGGUCCAGAGGUGCUUUCAGAUUUGCACUACGAGAAAGUCGGCUUUUAGAAAAAGCUGCUUCCUGGAUCCAGCCCUUUGGUUGGCUUUUGACUUUUAGGGGCACAAAAGCAAAAGCCAAAAGUCAAACCAAACACACCCAUAGACGUUGAGGAAACUUGUGGAACUAGUGGAGGAGAUGGUAUACAGGACGAUGAUGAAGCCAAUAGAGACAACGAAAAGGAUGAUGAAUUUGACGAAAGGAAUAACAAGGAAAUUCAAGACGUAUCUAUUAUACUUGAACAAGGUGUGGCCAAUGAUCAAAUACAUAUACCAGUACGUCCAUUAGAAGAGGUUAAUUUGCAUGAUCACGCAAUAAUGAAUGUUAGUGGUGUCAGUGAACAAAAUGAUAAUGCCAGAAAGAAACUGGAAUUUGCAGUCGAUGGGAUAAGCUUGGCAAGACCAAAUAACUCAAGACCCAAAGGAAGAACAAUAAAGGGGAGUGAAGAAAGGGUUAUUAAAUUGGGAGCAAAAGGUACAAAGAAAAUGACCAGGAAAUGUCAGAAGUGUGGAAUUGCUGAUGGUCACAACAGUAGGACAUGUUUGUCAAUGGAGGAAAAUAGACAAAGGUUGGCAAGCCUUGCUGGACGUAAGAGAGGACGACCUCCAGGAUCUAGGAACAAGGGUGGCAGUAAAGCUCCUGAUUGGAAUGAGACAACAACAU